rnacentral:rRNA from 1 species
CAGCAGCCGCGGUAAUACGUAGGGUGCAAGCGUUAAUCGGAAUUACUGGGCGUAAAGCGUGCGCAGGCGGACUUUUAAGCCAGAUGUGAAAGCCCCGAGCUUAACUUGGGAAUUGCGUUUGGAACUGGGAGUCUAGAGUCUGUCAGAGGGGGAUGGAAUUCCACGUGUAGCAGUGAAAUGCGUAGAGAUGUGGAGGAACACCGAUGGCGAAGGCAGUCCCCUGGGAUAAGACUGACGCUCAUGCACGAAAGCGUGGGGAGCAAACAGGAUUAGAUACCCUGGUAGUCCACGCCCUAAACGAUGUCUACUAGUUGUUGGGGUAGCAAUACCUCAGUGACGCAGCUAACGCGUGAAGUAGACCGCCUGGGGAGUACGGUCGCAAGAUUAAAAACUCAAAGGAAUUGACGGGG